rnacentral:rRNA from 1 species
AUACGGAGGAUCCGAGCGUUAUCCGGAUUUAUUGGGUUUAAAGGGUGCGUAGGCGGGAGAUUAAGUCGGUGGUGAAAUUUUGCAGCUCAACUGUAAAAGUGCCAUUGAUACUGGUUUCCUUGAGUGUGGAUGAAGUAGGCGGAAUUUGUGGUGUAGCGGUGAAAUGCAUAGAUAUCACGAGGAACUCCGAUUGCGCAGGCAGCUUACUAAACCAUAACUGACGCUCAGGCACGAAGGCGUGGGGAUCAAACAGGAUUAGAUACCCUGGUAGUCCACGCAGUAAACGAUGAUUACUCGCUGUUUGCGAUACACAGCAAGCGGCUUAGCGAAAGCGUUAAGUAAUCCACCUGGGGAGUACGUUCGCAAGAAUGAAACUCAAAGGAAUUGACGGGG